rnacentral:rRNA from 2 species
GAAAUUAUUUGUGGGCUAGAGUAUUAAUAGUUAUAUUCUUGAAAUUCAAAGAAUUUGGCGGUACUUUAAUCUUAUUAGAGGAACCUGUUUUAUAAACGAUAUUCCACGUAAAAUCUUACUUAUUUUAAAUAGUUUGUAUACCGUCAUUAAUAGAUAAUUUUGUAAAGUUUAAUUNUUAUAAUUAAUAGUUUUAAAUAUAUUAGAUCAAGGUGCAGCUUAUAGAUAAGAAAAAAUGGGUUACAAUAAAUUAAUUUAUAACGGAGUUAAAAUUUAAAUAAUUAAUAAAGGAGGAUUUAAUUGUAUAAUUAAUUNAAUAAGUUAAUUAGAAAAUGGCUCUAAAGUAUGUACAUAUCGCCCGUCGCUA